rnacentral:lncRNA from 1 species
AAGGAUUGAUUUUGAGUAUUAGUUUUGCUUCAAAUUGUUUUGCUUUCAUUUCAGCACAUGAAAAAAAAAUUCUAGAAGAUAUUAACUUAACAGAUCAUCCCCAUGAUUUUUCUGAGAUAGAAAGAAUACACUCAUCUCAACUCUUGGAAAUUUUGCCAAAGUUGAUUUUCAUUUUGAAAAGUCACCUGGCAUAGAUAAAGGAAAGUGGACCCCACCCAAGUUUGGAUUUCAGUUUCCAGGCUUGAGUGUCCCUCAUAACCCUUUCUUUCCAGGAAGAAAACAGGAUUGGAACAGAUGAUUACAAUGAAGAAGCACCGUUUUAUAUUGGAUGAUGGCGAAUAUGGCAUUUUUUUCAGCUACAUUGUGUGACUAACAGCACAAAACCUUAGGCUUUGCCCCAGCAGAAUGAGUGACAUAUAUGACUCACUGUCCUGCGUGAUCUGCUGUUUUUUUCUUGGACGUCUUCCUGGUAUGGCAUGCUCCAAGGAAGAUCAACAAUAUAGUAUUAGCAUAUUUCCGAAAGCCUAUGGACAAGGUAGAUUUCUGGUGCAGCCCCACCCGUACUGGUCAGAGGCCAUGAGCAUCAAGACUGAAUGUAAAACACACCAGUGCAUAAUGAAAAGCUCAGAAAGGAAAGCUCUUAUGAGCAUGAUCACAAGGACUCUGUGAAGGAAGAUUGUGGUACAUAUAGAAAGUCAUUAUUUUUCCACAUGUGUUGUAACCUGUGUUUAUGCUACACCAAAAGAGCAUGGAGAGAGAGCAAGACAGCAAUUCAAAAACGUGGCCAGGGAUGACUUGAAAAAAUGCAGAACUCCACAACACAAUGGGUAGCACUUUUAAUUAAAUUUGUAGUCGACUGAUAAUAAAAUUGAUAAUUUGAC